GCGUGCCUAAUACAUGCAAGUCGAACGAAGCUUUCUUUCACCGAAUGCUUGCAUUCACCGAAAGAAGCUUAGUGGCGAACGGGUGAGUAACACGUAGGUAACCUGCCCGAAAGAGGGGGAUAACACUUGGAAACAGGUGCUAAUACCGCAUAACCAUGAACACCGCAUGAUGUUCAUGUAAAAGACGGCUUUUGCUGUCACUUUUGGAUGGGCCUGCGGCGUAUUAACUUGUUGGUGGGGUAACGGCCUACCAAGGUGAUGAUACGUAGCCGAACUGAGAGGUUGAUCGGCCACAUUGGGACUGAGACACGGCCCAAACUCCUACGGGAGGCAGCAGUAGGGAAUCUUCCACAAUGGACGAAAGUCUGAUGGAGCAACGCCGCGUGAAUGAAGAAGGCCUUCGGGUCGUAAAAUUCUGUUGUCAGAGAAGAACGUGCGUGAGAGUAACUGUUCACGUAUUGACGGUAUCUGACCAGAAAGCCACGGCUAACUACGUGCCAGCAGCCGCGGUAAUACGUAGGUGGCAAGCGUUGUCCGGAUUUAUUGGGCGUAAAGGGAACGCAGGCGGUCUUUUAAGUCUGAUGUGAAAGCCUUCGGCUUAACCGAAGUAGUGCAUUGGAAACUGGAAGACUUGAGUGCAGAAGAGGAGAGUGGAACUCCAUGUGUAGCGGUGAAAUGCGUAGAUAUAUGGAAGAACACCAGUGGCGAAAGCGGCUCUCUGGUCUGUAACUGACGCUGAGGUUCGAAAGCGUGGGUAGCAAACAGGAUUAGAUACCCUGGUAGUCCACGCCGUAAACGAUGAGUGCUAAGUGUUGGAGGGUUUCCACCCUUCAGUGCUGCAGCUAACGCAUUAAGCACUCCGCCUGGGGAGUACGGUCG
rnacentral:rRNA from 1 species